UUGGGACCGGUGGCUCGGGUGCUGCAGCUGCGUGGGAACCCCGGGGAGCACUUUCCUGAAGACGUCGGCCUCCGGGAGAGGACGAGAGGACGGAGAAUCUCCCCAACGUGUGUGCGGCUGAUCACGGAAGUGAGGCUGAGAUGCCUGUGUCACCAGGGCAAGAAGAAAGGCUCUCUCACCAACAAGCAGUUUGCAUCUGCUGAGAUGUGGGAGAGAGGCACCGAGUCCAGGAACUUCUACAGCAUAUUCCCCCAGCACCUUCAAAAAGAAAUACAGUAGAUUCUCAGAUGGAAAGAAAUUAAUUUUGCUUUGGGGGAAAGCCUAAAACCCUUGGCUAAUCAAUACUAUUUUACCUUAAGAACUUCUGUGCAUUGCUGGAGCAGAAGGCAAGCAUCAUCAGACUGGGAAAUCAUACUUUAAGGAACACCACACAAAACACAAUGUUUUCUGACAUCAGAUGAUGAAUGGACACUAAGGGAAAAACAGUCUUUUCACUGGCCAGCGGGAGCUCAACACGGAGUGCGCAUUUAGAGAAAAUACAAACGGAAGAUUCCCAACAGGAGAAAGAAAAUACUUUCAUGAUUUUCACAGACAGAUACUCCAGAAGUGAUAAUGGAGACCCAGGAGAAUAGGUGGGUCCGGGUGACUGUCCUCCCCGGCUGCGUGGGCUGCAGGACCGUGGCGGUUCCGGUGUCCUGCACCGCGCGCGGCGUCAAGGAGCGCAUCUUCGCAGAGACCGGCUUCCCGGUGUCCGAGCAGCGGCUGUGGCGCGGCGACAGG